UACGAGGGGUGCAAGCGUUGCUCGGAAUUAUUGGGCGUAAAGGGUAGGUAGGUGGUCUCAUUUGUCUGGGGUGAAAGCCUUGAGCUUAACUCAAGAAGUGCCCCGGAAACGGUGAGACUAGAGUCUUGGAGAGGGUCGUGGAAUUCCCGGUGUAGCGGUGAAAUGCGUAGAGAUCGGGAGGAACACCAGAGGCGAAAGCGGCGAGCUGGAUCACUACUGACGCUGAAGAACGAAAGCUAGGGGAGCAAACAGG
rnacentral:rRNA from 1 species